rnacentral:rRNA from 1 species
CACCGCGGUUAGACGAGAGGCCCAAGUUGAUAGCCACCGGCGUAAAGCGUGGUUAAAGAAAUUGAAACACUAAGACUAAAUGCUUUUGCUGCUGUUAUACGCACACAAAAGUUAGAAGCCCGACUACGAAGGUGGUCUUAAUACAUCUUGAACCCACGAAAGCUAUGAAA